rnacentral:rRNA from 1 species
UCGAGGGGUAACAGGAGUAGCUUGCUACUUGCUGACGACCGGCGCACGGGUGCGUAACGCGUAUACAAUCUACCUUAUACUGAAGAAUAGCCCAGAGAAAUUUGGAUUAAUGCUUCAUAAUAUUUUAAAACCGCAUGGUUUUAAACUUAAAGCUCCGGCGGUAUAAGAUGAGUAUGCGUGAUAUUAGCUAGUUGGUGAGGUAACGGCUCACCAAGGCAACGAUAUCUAGGGGGUCUGAGAGGACUAUCCCCCACACUGGUACUGAGACACGGACCAGACUCCUACGGGAGGCAGCAGUGAGGAAUAUUGGGCAAUGGAGGCAACUCUGACCCAGCCAUGCCGCGUGAAGGAAGAAGGUCUUAUGGAUUGUAAACUUCUUUUAUUUGGGAAGAAACCUAUCUACGUGUAGAUAGCUGACGGUACCAAACGAAUAAGGACCGGCUAACUCCGUGCCACCACCGCGGUAUACGGAGGGUCCAGCGUAUCCGGAAUCAUUGGGUUAAAGGGUGC